rnacentral:rRNA from 1 species
AGCGAACGCUGGCGGCAUGCUUUACACAUGCAAGUCGAACGGUAACAGGCCGCAAGGUGCUGACGAGUGGCGAACGGGUGAGUAAUGCAUCGGAACGUGCCCAGUCGUGGGGGAUAACGCAGCGAAAGCUGUGCUAAUACCGCAUACGAUCUAUGGAUGAAAGCGGGGGACCGUAAGGCCUCGCGCGAUUGGAGCGGCCGAUGUCAGACUAGGUAGUUGGUGGGGUAAAGGCCUACCAAGCCGACGAUCUGUAGCUGGUCUGAGAGGACGACCAGCCACACUGGGACUGAGACACGGCCCAGACUCCUACGGGAGGCAGCAGUGGGGAAUUUUGGACAAUGGGCGCAAGCCUGAUCCAGCAAUGCCGCGUGCAGGAAGAAGGCCUUCGGGUUGUAAACUGCUUUUGUACGGAACGAAACGGCCUGGGUUAAUACCCUGGGCUAAUGACGGUACCGUAAGAAUAAGCACCGGCUAACUACGUGCCAGCCGCCGCAGUAACAC